rnacentral:misc_RNA from 1 species
GAUGAAGAACGCAGUGAAAUGCGAUAAGUAAUGUGAAUUGCAGAAUCCAGUGAAUCAUCGAAUCUUUGAACGCACAUUGCGCCCGCCAGCAUUCUGGCGGGCAUGCCUGUUCGAGCGUCAUUUCAACCCUCGACCUCCCCUUGGGGAGGUCGGCGUUGGGGACCGGCAGCACACCGCCGGCCCUGAAAUGGAGUGGCGGCCCGUCUGCGGCGACCUCUGCGUAGUAAUACAGCUAGCACCGGAACCCCGACGCGGCCACGCCGUAAAACACCCAACUUCUGAACGUUGACCUCGAAUCAGGUAGGACUACCCGCUGAACUUAAGCAUAUCAAUAAGCGGAGGA